CCGGAGCCAGCUUUGACAACCCCCUCGGGUCCCCUUCCACAGUGUGGAAGCUUUGUUAUUUCGCUCUUUGCAAUAAAUCUUGCUACUGCUCACUCUUUGGGUCCACGCUACUUUUAUGAGCUGUAACACCCACCGUGAAGAUCUGCAGCUUCACUCCUGAGCCCAACGAGCCCACGAGCCCACUGGGAGGAACCAACAACUCCAGACGUGCUGCCUUAAGAGCUGUAACACUCACCGUGAAGGUCUGCAGCUUCACCCCUGAGCCAGUGAGACCACGAACCCACCAGAAGGAAGAAACUCCAAACACAUCUGAACAUCAGAAGGGACAGACUCCAGACGCGCCACUUUAAGAGCUGUAACACUCACCGCGAGGGUCCGCGGCUUCAUUCUUGAAGUCAGUGAGACCAAGAACCCACCCAUUCCGGACACACCAUCAUCAUGUAAGGCACUAACAACAGGAGAAGCUGGGUGAAAGGUAUAUGGGACAUUUCUGCACCAUCUUCACAACUUUUCUGUAAAUCUAAAAUUAAAUGGUUUAUUGAAAAUUAGCGUCAUGUAUAAUCAUAACAAAAAAUCACACUUUUAGUAUUUGGUUUAUUUAUUUUUUUUUGGUAGGAGUUUCCUCACCUUUGUCUGCUUAAAAUGAACAGCUCGGAUAACUUAUAUCAAUGUAUUUGCUUACUCUAGAUUUCAUUAAUGAUGUAUGUUGAAGAAUAUGUAUGCACAUUAUUUAGACAACCUGUAAUAUUGAAAGUUUAUGUUGAAUAAAGAGCAUGUACAUCGAAAAUUAGCUUAACCUUUUUUUUUCCUUUUACUAAGUAUAAAAUUACCAAGGCUCUGAAAUAUGGAGUGAAAUCUUUGUGGCUUUUAUGGCUAAAUGCUUGCUUGCUCAAGCAGAUUAAAGUCAACAUUCUGAGAGCUCUUUUGAGUAGCGGAAGGAUUAACUCACAGGCAUAUGCAACUGUUAAACAACUCAUCUUUCACAGAACUAUAUCAUCUUACUCUCACCAACUUCAGUUCUAUAAUCUUCUCUACAUAUAAGUGUCUUCCAGUUAUAGUAUAUGUGCAACCAUCACAAAAGCUCUGGGGAUCAAUUUUUAAAGUAAAUGCUGAUUAAUCAAAUUCUAGUAAGUAAACCCAGGACAUAU
rnacentral:lncRNA from 10 species